rnacentral:rRNA from 1 species
CAGUCGAGGGGCAGCGGGGGUAGCAAUACCCGCCGGCGACCGGCGCACGGGUGAGUAACGCGUAUGCAACUUACCUAUCAGAGGGGGAUAACCCGGCGAAAGUCGGACUAAUACCGCAUGAAGCAGGGGCCCCGCAUGGGGAUAUUUGCUAAAGAUUCAUCGCUGAUAGAUAGGCAUGCGUUCCAUUAGGCAGUUGGCGGGGUAACGGCCCACCAAACCGACGAUGGAUAGGGGUUCUGAGAGGAAGGUCCCCCACAUUGGUACUGAGACACGGACCAAACUCCUACGGGAGGCAGCAGUGAGGAAUAUUGGUCAAUGGCCGAGAGGCUGAACCAGCCAAGUCGCGUGAGGGAUGAAGGUUCUAUGGAUCGUAAACCUCUUUUAUAAGGGAAUAAAGUGCGGGACGUGUCCCGUUUUGUAUGUACCUUAUGAAUAAGGAUCGGCUAACUCCGUGCCAGCAGCCGCGGUAAUACGGAGGAUCCGAGCGUUAUCCGGAUUUAUUGGGUUUAAAGGGUGCGUAGGCGGCCUUUUAAGUCAGCGGUGAAAGUCUGUGGCUCAACCAUAGAAUUGCCGUUGAAACUGGGAGGCUUGAGUAUGUUUGAGGCAGGCGGAAUGCGUGGUGUAGCGGUGAAAUGCAUAGAUAUCACGCAGAACCCCGAUUGCGAAGGCAGCCUGCCAAGCCAUGACUGACGCUGAUGCACGAAAGCGUGGGGAUCAAACAGGAUUAGAUACCCUGGUAGUCCACGCAGUAAACGAUGAUCACUAGCUGUUUGCGAUACAGUGUAAGCGGC